GACGAACGCUGGCGGCGUGCCUAAUACAUGCAAGUCGAGCGCAGGAAGCCGACGGAACCCUUCGGGGGGAAGUCGACGGAAUGAGCGGUGGACGGGUGAGUAACACGUAAAGAACCUGCCCUCAGGUCUGGGAUAACCACGAGAAAUCGGGGCUAAUACCGGAUGGGUCAUCGGACCGCAUGGUCCGAGGAUGAAAGGCGCUUCGGCGUCGCCUGGGGAUGGCUUUGCGGUGCAUUAGCUAGUUGGUGGGGUAAUGGCCCACCAAGGCGACGAUGCAUAGCCGACCUGAGAGGGUGAUCGGCCACACUGGGACUGAGACACGGCCCAGACUCCUACGGGAGGCAGCAGUAGGGAAUCUUCCACAAUGAACGAAAGUCUGAUGGAGCAACGCCGCGUGAACGAUGAAGGCCUUCGGGUCGUAAAGUUCUGUUGUAAGGGAAGAACAAGUGCCGCAGGCAAUGGCGGCACCUUGACGGUACCUUGCGAGAAAGCCACGGCUAACUACGUGCCAGCCGCCGCCGUAAUAC
rnacentral:rRNA from 1 species